rnacentral:rRNA from 1 species
AUUCCAGCUCCAAUAGCGUAUAUUAAAGUUGUUGCAGUUAAAAAGCUCGUAGUUGGAGUUCAGGGUGAGCUCAGCCGGUCGGCGUCAUGCGUCAGAACUGGUCGACUCUCCCUUGUUUGUGGAUCCCGCCCGGAGUUAACUCUUCGGGAUGUGGAGUUCACAUCGUUUACCUUGAAAAAAUUAGAGUGUUCAAAGCAGGCGUUUGCUUGAAUAUAUUAGCAUGGAAUAAUGGAAUAGGACCCUGGUUCUAUUUUGUUGGUUUUGAGAACCAGAGUAAUGAUUAAUAGGGAUAGUUGGGGGCAUUCAUAUUUCAUUGUCAGAGGUGAAAUUCUUGGAUUUAUGAAAGAUGAACUUCUGCGAAAGCAUUUGCCAAGGAUGUUUUCAUUA